UUCUUGGUCUAGAUAUGAAUAGAGAGCUCGAGUUCGAUCUUGAUAUCUUGGUUAUGUCUUGUACUUUUUCUGUUGAUACAGAUUAUUGCUGCAAAUGUUUCUUAGACGGGAAUUAAGUUGUUUUUCAGAAAGGCUUUGUAGUUCUUUACCAAUGGCGUUCAGCUAAUACAACGUCUGAUACACAUUCUGGUGGUAUAUGCAACCAUGCUUUACAAAGCUAAUUACCACAUCCCUCUUUCACUAGGAUAUGUGCCGCUCUGUUUGAUAUACAUCGUGACUUUGUGCUCCUCCAUGGUUCUCAGCAUCUCCUUGAUCACUCCAGUCAAUGACCCAUGGACUGAUCUGUUCAAAUCAGCAACAUUCUAGCAAGUUGUUACUUGUUACCCAUGCUAAAUCUUACUUGCAUGGGACGUUUAUGCCAGCACACAUUGAAGACCAAGUAUAGCAUAUAUAGUCAAUCGGUGAUGUCUCAUAAGAAAAUGAAACAAUUAUCUGACGAGAAAAAUACACAGGAUGACAUCAAAUGAAUAUUUAAAGGAGAUCCACUUGCAUUGCUCCUUUGUAACUAGGACUAUUGUUUUGUGUUUCUCAUUGUUUUUUUAGUUAGAACCCUUCCAUAGGUACUCCCUCUGUAACUUAAUAUAACACUUUUUUUCACACUCAUACUGUCAAAAAACGUCUUGUAUUAAGGUUCGGAGGGAGUAAAAUUUAGUUGUGUUCUCCAUCUUUUGCA